AAAGGUAUAGCUCAGUGGUAGAGUAUGUGCUUAACAUGCACAGGGUCCUGGGUGCAGUUCCUAGUGCCUUCC
rnacentral:tRNA from 1 species